UUAUACAGCGAAACUGCGAAUGGCUCAUUAAAUCAGUUAUCGUUUAUUUGAUAGUACCUUACUACUUGGAUAACCGUGGUAAUUCUAGAGCUAAUACAUGCUAAAAACCCCGACUCACGAAGGGGUGUAUUUAUUAGAUUAAAAACCAAUGCCCUUCGGGGCUCUUUGGUGAUUCAUAAUAACUUUUCGAAUCGCAUGGCCUUGCGCCGGCGAUGGUUCAUUCAAAUUUCUGCCCUAUCAACUUUCGAUGGCAGGGUCUUGGCCUGCCAUGGUUACAACGGGUAACGGAGGGUUAGGGCUCGACCCCGGAGAAGGAGCCUGAGAAACGGCUACUACAUCCAAGGAAGGCAGCAGGCGCGCAAAUUACCCAAUCCCGAUUCGGGGAGGUAGUGACAAUAAAUACUGAUACAGGGCUCUUUUGGGUCUUGUAAUUGGAAUGAGUACAAUUUAAAUCCCUUAACGAGGAACAAUUGGAGGGCAAGUCUGGUGCCAGCAGCCGCGGUAAUUCCAGCUCCAAUAGCGUAUAUUAAAGUUGUUGCAGUUAAAAAGCUCGUAGUUGAACCUUGGGCCUGGCUGGCCGGUCCGCCUCACCGCGUGCACUGGUUCGGCCGGGCCUUUCCCUCUGGGGAACCUCAUGGUCUUCACUGAUCGUGAUGGGGAACCAGGACUUUUACUGUGAAAAAAUUAGAGUGUUCAAAGCAGGCCUAUGCUCGAAUACAUUAGCAUGGAAUAAUAAAAUAGGACGUGUGGUUCUAUUUUGUUGGUUUCUAGGACCGCCGUAAUGAUUAAUAGGGACAGUCGGGGGCAUCAGUAUUCAAUUGUCAGAGGUGAAAUUCUUGGAUUUAUUGAAGACUAACUACUGCGAAAGCAUUUGCCAAGGAUGUUUUCAUUAAUCAGGAACGAAAGUUAGGGGAUCGAAGACGAUCAGAUACCGUCGUAGUCUUAACCAUAAACUAUGCCGACUAGGGAUCGGACGGUGUUACUUAUUGACCCGUU
rnacentral:rRNA from 1 species